rnacentral:rRNA from 1 species
UAUUGCACAAUGGGGGAAACCCUGAUGCAGCGACGCCGCGCGAGUGAAGAAGAAUUUCGGUAUGUAAAGCUCUAUCAGCAGGAAUGAGACAAGACGGUACCUGACUAAGAAGCCCCGGCUAACUACGUGCCAGCAGCCGCGGUAAUACGUAGGGGGCAAGCGUUAUCCGGAUUUACUGGGUGUAAAGGGUGCGUAGGUGGCAGGGCAAGUCAGAUGUGAAAGCCCGGGGCUCAACCCCGGUACUGCAUUUGAAACUGUCCAGCUGGAGUGCAGGAGAGGUAAGCGGAAUUCCUAGUGUAGCGGUGAAACGCGUAGAUAUUAGGAGGAACACCAGUGGCGAAGGCGGCUUACUGGACUGUAACUGACACUGAGGCACGAAAGCGUGGGGAGCA